rnacentral:rRNA from 1 species
AGCGAACGCUGGCGGCAUGCUUAACACAUGCAAGUCGCACGGUCAGCAAUGGCAGUGGCGGACGGGUGAGUAACACGUAGGAAUCUAUCCUUGAAUGGGGGACAACCGUGGGAAACUACGGCUAAUACCGCAUGAUACCUGAGGGUCAAAGGCGCAAGUCGCCUUAGGAGGAGCCUGCGUCUGAUUAGCUUGUUGGUGGGGUAAAGGCCUACCAAGGCGACGAUCAGUAGCUGGUCUGAGAGGAUGAUCAGCCACAUUGGGACUGAGACACGGCCCAAACUCCUACGGGAGGCAGCAGUGGGGAAUAUUGGACAAUGGGCGAAAGCCUGAUCCAGCAAUGCCGCGUGUGUGAAGAAGGUCUUCGGAUUGUAAAGCACUUUUGGCAGGGACGAUGAUGACGGUACCUGCAGAAUAAGCCCCGGCUAACUUCGUG